AAGGUUGUAGCUUAGUUAAAGCGUUUGGUUUGCACUCAGAAGAUACAGGGUAAUGUCCUGUCAGCCUUA
rnacentral:tRNA from 1 species